rnacentral:rRNA from 1 species
CCCUUAGAUGUUCUGGGCUGCACGCGCGCUACACUGAUGCGUUCAACAAGUUGGACCUUGUCCGAGAGGAAAUCGGGGGAAUCUUUUGAAAACGUAUCGUGAUGGGGAUAGAUUAUUGUAAUUAUUAAUCUUCAACGAGGAAUUCCUAGUAAGCAUGAAUCAUCAGCUCGUGCUGAUUACGUCCCUGCCCUUUGUACACACCGCCCGUCGCUCCUACCGGUUGAGUGAUCCGGUGAAUUAACCAGAUUGUGGCGAGGGUAGUUUUCUGCUAUUGCUACGAAAAGGUUUGUGAACCUUAUCACUUAGAGGAAGGAGAAGUCGUAACA